AGUGAACGCUGGCGGUAGGCCUAACACAUGCAAGUCGAACGGCAGCACAGUAAGAGCUUGCUCUUACGGGUGGCGAGUGGCGGACGGGUGAGGAAUACAUCGGAAUCUACUUUUUCGUGGGGGAUAACGUAGGGAAACUUACGCUAAUACCGCAUACGACCUACGGGUGAAAGCAGGGGAUCUUCGGACCUUGCGCGAUUGAAUGAGCCGAUGUCGGAUUAGCUAGUUGGCGGGGUAAAGGCCCACCAAGGCGACGAUCCGUAGCUGGUCUGAGAGGAUGAUCAGCCACACUGGAACUGAGACACGGACAAUACUCCUACGGGAGGCAGCAGUGGGGAAUAUUGGACAAUGGGCGCAAGCCUGAUCCAGCCAUACCGCGUGGGUGAAGAAGGCCUUCGGGUUGUAAAGCCCUUUUGUUGGGAAAGAAAAGCAGCAGGUUAAUACCCCGCUGUUCUGACGGUACCCAAAGAAUAAGCACCGGCUAACUUCGUG
rnacentral:rRNA from 1 species